GUAGGGAAUAUUGCACAAUGGGGGAAACCCUGAUGCAGCGACGCCGCGUGAGUGAUGAAGGCCUUCGGGUCGUAAAGCUCUGUCGUAUGGGACGAACACAAUGAAGGUACCAUGCAAGAAAGGAUCGGCUAACUUCGUGCCAGCAGCCGCGGUAAGACGGGGGAUCCUAGCGUUGUUCGGAAUUAUUUGGCGUAAAGCGGGUGGAGGCGGAUUUGUAAGUCAGGUGUGAAAUCCCAGGGCUCAACCCUGGACGUGCACUUGAGACUGAGGGUCGUGAGUGUGGUCGAGGUUACUGGAAUGGUUGUUGUAGUGGUGAAAUACGUAGAUAUCAACAAGAAUACCGGAGGCAAAGGCGAGUAGCUGGGCCAACACUGACGCUGAUACCCGAAAGCGUGGGGAUCAAACAGUAUUAGAUACCCUGGUAGUCC
rnacentral:rRNA from 1 species